CUAUUGUCUAUUGUCUAUACAAAAAUCAAUUUAUAGACACAAGAUAGUUUUACACUUAGUAUGAAAAAAAUUAUAUAUGCAUUUAUUCUAUAAGUAACUUUCCCACUUGACCUACAAAAGUGUGCUUUAAAAAAGUGUACAAGCAAAUGAAAUGUAUAUUAUGUUCCAGACCAUAUGACUAUUUGGACCGUAUUUGAGGCGUAUACUCAUACGGUCCGACCAUACGCGUACGGUACUAGUACGAGCUGGACCAUACAUGAAUUUGGACCAACAUUUAUCAAAAAACUUUUAUUGGGUAUUUCAAAUUAAUAUCAUUGCAAUCAGAUGAAUAAGCUAUCCUUAAAUCAAUUAAAUAAUUAUUUAAUUGUCUAUCAAAUCCUAAUUUUGGUACUCUCUCCCCCGGUGACACUUGCUGCCAUAAGGAACAUCCGAUUUUUUACUUUACAUGUUUUGUUCAUGCAUGUUCCUUUGCAUUUGCAUCUCUCGCUUGCAAGAGAAAUUAAAGCUUGUUUUUCGGCAGCAUGCAAUGAAAUUCCUUCUUUUUUCUAAUGUGCAAUUUCAAUUUUGAGUGUAAAAAUUUCUAUAUGACCCAUAACAUAACAAGAGUUCAAUAUGCCAAAUUCAC
rnacentral:lncRNA from 1 species